CGGAUUGCACCCGACAAAACAUUAGAGAAGAAGAAGAAGCUUACGUCAUUCGACGCGACACUUUCCACGGUCGGAGCUGAUCCGGAUCACAUACACAGGAGUCACUCAUUGAAGAUGAAUCACAGCUGGACAGGGAUCUUCGAAUAAUUGAGAGACACCAUGGUGUAAAACGAAGGCGGCUCCCUUCGGAUGACAUUUUCCAGAGAACACUGAGAGAUGUUGACCAGGAACUUAGAGGUCAGCUGAUACGACGAGCACAAAAUGAAGCAAGGGAGAGGGCCACUCUUCUCAACCUGAAAAGAAGAUGUAAUGGUAACACUACUUCUUCUCUUGACUGUAUGGUCAUUAGCAAAAUUGAAGCUCAAAGGUCUUGUGGUAAACCUAAAUUUAAUCUUUAUGUUAUCCCUGCACCAUGCAUAUGUUCACUCUAGGUACUUAAGCGUCUUUAUGCAGUGUAAGAAGUGACUGGUUUAUUCCAACUUGUCCUUUGUCAUGGAUGGACAGGGAGUUGUUAUAAGGCUGUCCAAGCAAGUGAAUGCCUGUAACAGGAAACUGAAGAAGAUUGUUACAGAGUACAAUAAUCUGCAGUGGCCUCCACAAACUGGCAUCUUUCCAUCACAUUUAGAAUUUUGAGAAUUGUGUGAUGCCUCCUCCCAGCUGUACACAUUGUUUGAUGAACAAAUUGAAGAUCAUGGUGUUGUUCCAAAGAACCUAAAAAGUCGAGCAAUAGAAGCCCUGCAUUUGAAGACUAGAGCAACUGAAGAAAAGCUUCUACUUAAGAGAGAGAUGAACACUGUCAUUCUUCACCUUCAUCAACAACAUGGACAUUUAAGUUCAGCUAUAAAUGAUACUGCAGAUCCUGGUUCAAAAGCUGUACUUCAUCAAAACAUUAUCAUGUUAGAAAAGAAAAUGUACAGUGCAAUGAACAUGUUCAAGAGGUUUAUCGAAGUUGGUGCCCCUCCUCCAAAUCAUCACCUACCAGAGUUUAACUCUUA